rnacentral:rRNA from 1 species
GACAGAGGGUGCAAACGUUGUUCGGAUUCACUGGGCGUAAAGGGCGCGUAGGCGGUCCGGUAAGUCAGGGGUGAAAUCCCACAGCUUAACUGUGGAAGUGCCUUUGAUACUGCCGGUCUGGAGGGAGAUAGGGGUGUGCGGAACUUCCAGUGGAGCGGUGAAAUGCGUUGAUAUUGGAAGGAACGCCGGAGGCGAAAGCGGCGCACUGGAUCUCUUCUGACGCUGAGGCGCGAAAGCUAGGGGAGCAAACGGG